GCUGAUCUAAAGAGACUUCCACACAAAGUCUUGCAUAGUGUCCUCUCAAGGUUGAUGAUGUACAUGCAUCAACUUUUAAUAAACGCCCAAUUUUGCUACCAAUUUUCUUUAAUAUAAUGGCAUCAUACCCAUACAAAGGCAAUUUGCCAUUUUGCCUGAGAAGCAACAUAGUUUGGUUAGGCGGAGCUAGGAUUUGAAGUAUGUGGUUCUAAAUUUUAAAAUAACACUGCGUUCAGCGGGAAUCGAACCUCAUCUUUCCCAGCGAACCCACAAUCCUUACCGUUGAACUAAGACCUUCGGGGAUGAUAGAUCCUAUGCAUAUCUUCAACAGAUAAGGUGACCAUGUGAUCUGCAUUUUUUGAUUCAUCUCCGCCAAUACCUUUGUCAUCUAGCUCAUGUAUCUCCAUAGGUGCAAUUAGAUCCUCAAAUCAUUCCAUAGAGAUAAAGUUCGAGUGCGUAUAUGAUAGUAGCUUGUCUUUAAAAGUUGGAGUAGAGACGUGUGUAGCCAUGGGGCUACUGUUGGUGGGUAUAUGAUUGUUAAUAUCCGGCGGUUUUGGAGGGAUUUGAGUUGUUUGCUGCAAAGAUGGUUGAGGAUUUUGCAUUCUUCAAGUAUGAAAUGGAGGAACGGUAGUAGGAUUUUAGAGAUAGCCGGGUUAAAAUUUUUGUUAAUGUUUCAUUCAAAUCAAAUCUCUUUUUGUUAAUUUUUCAUUUUUAAUUUGAAUCUUCUCUGUUUCUCACAGAUUUAUCUAAUGUUGUUUAGAAUUUAUGAUUUGAAUAUUCUCUAUUUCUCACAGAUUUCUCUAAUGUUAUUUAGAAUCAGAAAAUAAAAGAUGACAAUGCCUCUUUCUCGUUUAUGUUAAUGUUUCAUUCAAAUCAAAUCUCUCUUUGUCAAUUUUUCAUUUAUGAUGUAAAUGGUCUCUAUUUUGUCAUAGAUUUCUCUAAUGUUGUUUAGAAUCAGAAAAUGACAGAUGCUAAUGUCUCUUUUUUUUGUCUCAUUUUUGUUAAUUUUUCAUAAUCAAAUCUCUAUUUAUUGAUUUUUCAUUUAUGAUUUGAAUGUUCUCUGUUCCUCGCAGAUUUCUCUAAUAUUGUUUAGAAUCAGAAAAUGACAAGAUGAUAAUGACUCUUUUGUUUUUGCUCAUUUUUUUUGUUUAUAUUUCAUUCAAAUCAAAUCUCUCUUUGUUAAUUUUUCAUUUUGUGAUUUGAAUGUUCUCUAUUUCUCACAAAUUUCUCUAAUGUUGUUUAAAAUCAGAAAAUGGCAAGAUGAUAAUGAUUCUUUUGAUUUUGCUCGUUUUUGCUAAUGUUUCAUUCAAAUCAAAUCUUUCUUUGUUAACUAUUUAUUUAUGAUUUGAAUGUUCUCUAUUUCUAAUAGAUUUCUUUAAUGUUGUUUAGAUAAUCGAAAAAUGGCGGAUGAUAGUCCAUGGAUGAAAAUCGCAAUAAGUUUGUAGAAGAGCUUCGUAUAGUUGAUAUGGAGAUAGAAGAGAUUCGUAUAGAAAGGAUAUUUUGAGGAUAGAUAUGUUUGUACUCAUGACCCAAGGACACUUUACAAAGUUUGAAGAUGAGACAAAAGAAUUCAACUCUUACAUUGAACUUCUAACACAACUCUUAGAAGAUACAAAGAGGGAGUGGUACAACUUCUUAAUGAAGGAUGGGAGAGGAGGUGGUGAAGAACAAGAAUUUUGAAGAGUAAAGCAUUAAUAUAGAAGUUAGGUAAAGAACAAUUACUUACUGUUAGCCUAAAUGAAUUUUUGCUUACUAGUAUUUGCCUCUCCAACAGUAAAGAAGUUAGUGAAGAACAAUUACUCCUAAUUAUUUUUUUAUAUUGGUGACUUACCCAAUGAAGCAUUGGUAUGUUUUAGAUUGGAUAAAUGGAAGGUGCCAACCCUCAUACAUUUCUGUACCUGCUGGUUUUUGACUGUAUUGCAAGUGUACAUGAAGGUUGUAAGUUGUAGGAGAAAGUUCAUAUUUUGUGAAGUGCUAACAAGUUUUUGUCAUGUGAAUGGGCAUGUCCAUUUAUCUCUCUUGA
rnacentral:lncRNA from 1 species